rnacentral:tRNA from 1 species
AGGGGUAUAGCUCAGUGGUAGAGUGUUUGAUUACAGCUCAGUUGGUCCUUGGUUCAACUCCACAUGCCCCCU